UACGAAGGGGGCUAGCGUUGCUCGGAAUCACUGGGCGUAAAGGGUGCGUAGGCGGGUCUUUAAGUCAGGGGUGAAAUCCUGGAGCUCAACUCCAGAACUGCCUUUGAUACUGAAGAUCUUGAGUUCGGGAGAGGUGAGUGGAACUGCGAGUGUAGAGGUGAAAUUCGUAGAUAUUCGCAAGAACACCAGUGGCGAAAGGCGG
rnacentral:rRNA from 1 species